rnacentral:lncRNA from 1 species
CUCAAAGCACAAAGGUAAAGAAUUUCCUGCCUAGUAUUGAAUUAAAACAACUAACUAUACCUUACUACUUGACUAAUCAAUAGGUUGAGUCAAAGGUUCAACUGUUCCAACUAUCAUAUGUAUUUACUGAUAAGGAAAAUAGCAUCAAAUUUGACCUUUUUUCAAAAAAACUAAUCGACAGCAGAGAAAACCUCUGUUUUCCCAUACUUUUUAUCGCCUGAUUCACAAAACCAAUAUACGAAAAAAGAU